UCCUUCGUGGUGUAGUGGUCAGCACGCUCGACGCGUAUUCGAGAGGUCCAUGGUUCGAGUCCUGGCGAGGGAG
rnacentral:tRNA from 1 species